GAUGAACGCUGGCGGCGUGCCUAAUACAUGCAAGUCGAGCGAACAGAUGAGGAGCUUGCUCCUCCGACGUUAGCGGCGGACGGGUGAGUAACACGUGGAUAACCUACCUAUAAGACUGGGAUAACUUCGGGAAACCGGAGCUAAUACCGGGUAAUAUAUUUAACCGCAUGGUUCAAUAGUGAAAGACGGUUUUGCUGUCACUUAUAGAUGGAUCCGCGCCGCAUUAGCUAGUUGGUAAGGUAACGGCUUACCAAGGCAACGAUGCGUAGCCGACCUGAGAGGGUGAUCGGCCACACUGGAACUGAGACACGGUCCAGACUCCUACGGGAGGCAGCAGUAGGGAAUCUUCCGCAAUGGGCGAAAGCCUGACGGGGCAACGCCGCGUGAGUGAUGAAGGUCUUCGGAUCGUAAAACUCUGUUAUUAGGGAAGAACAAAUGUGUAAGUAACUAUGCACGUCUUGACGGUACCUAAUCAGAAAGCCACGGCUAACUACGUG
rnacentral:rRNA from 1 species